UACAGAGGUCUCAAGCGUUGUUCGGAUUCAUUGGGCGUAAAGGGUGCGUAGGCGGCGCGGUAAGUCGGGUGUGAAAUCUCGGAGCUUAACUCCGAAACUGCAUUCGAUACUGCCGUGCUUGAGGACUGGAGAGGAGACUGGAAUUUACGGUGUAGCGGUGAAAUGCGUUGAUAUCGUAAGGAACACCCGUGGCGAAAGCGGCUCACUGGGUCUUAUCUGACGCUGAUGCACGAAAGCUAGGGGAGCAAACGGG
rnacentral:rRNA from 1 species